rnacentral:rRNA from 1 species
AUUGAACGCUGGCGGCAGGCCUAACACAUGCAAGUCGAGCGGAGCGGCGGACGGGUGAGUAAUUCCUAGGAAUCUGCCUGGUAGUGGGGGAUAACGUCCGGAAACGUGCGCUAAUACCGCAUACUAUCAGAUGAGCCUAGUUCGGAUUAGCUAGUUGGUGGGUUAAAGGCCUACCAGGGCGACGAUCCGUAACUGGUCUGAGAGGAUGAUCAGUCACACGGGAAAUGAGACACGGUCAAGAAUACUACGGGAGGCAGCAGUGGGGAAUAUUGGACAAUGGGCGAAAGCCUGAUCCAGCCAUGCAGCGUGUGUGAAGAAGGUCUUCGGAUUGUAAAGCACUUUAAGUUGGGAGGCGUUACCAACAGAAUAAGCACCGGCUAACUUCGUGCCAGCAGCCGCGGUAAUAC